GCCCUUCGGGGUACACGAGUGGCGAACGGGUGAGUAACACGUGGGUGACCUGCCCUGUACUUCGGGAUAAGCCUGGGAAACUGGGUCUAAUACCGGAUAUGACCUUCUCCUGCAUGGGGGUUGGUGGAAAGCUUUUGCGGUACAGGAUGGGCCCGCGGCCUAUCAGCUUGUUGGUGGGGUAAUGGCCUACCAAGGCGACGACGGGUAGCCGGCCUGAGAGGGCGACCGGCCACACUGGGACUGAGACACGGCCCAGACUCCUACGGGAGGCAGCAGUGGGGAAUAUUGCACAAUGGGCGGAAGCCUGAUGCAGCGACGCCGCGUGAGGGAUGACGGCCUUCGGGUUGUAAACCUCUUUCAGUAGGGACGAAGCGCAAGUGACGGUACCUACAGAAGAAGCACCGGCCAACUACGUGCCAGCAGCCGCGGUAAUACGUAGGGUGCGAGCGUUGUCCGGAUUUACUGGGCKUAAAGAGCUCGYASGCGGUUUGUCACGUCGUCUGUGAAAACCCGAGGCUUAACCUCGGGCCUGCAGGCGAUACGGGCAGACUUGAGUACUGUAGGGGAGACUGGAAUUCCUGGUGUAGCGGUGGAAUGCGCAGAUAUCAGGAGGAACACCGGUGGCGAAGGCGGGUCUCUGGGCAGUAACUGACGCUGAGGAGCGAAAGCGUGGGUAGCGAACAGGAUUAGAUACCCUGGUAGUCCACGCCGUAAACGGUGGGUACUAGGUGUGGGUUUCCUUCCACGGGAUCCGUGCCGUAGCUAACGCAUUAAGUACCCCCGCCUGGGGGAGUACGGCGCAGGC
rnacentral:rRNA from 1 species